CCUACGGGUGGCAGCAGUGAGGAAUAUUGGUCAAUGGACGAGAGUCUGAACCAGCCAAGUAGCGUGAAGGAUGACUGCCCUAUGGGUUGUAAACUUCUUUUAUAUGGGAAUAAAAUGUUCCACGUGUGGGAUUUUGUAUGUACCAUAUGAAUAAGGAUCGGCUAACUCCGUGCCAGCAGCCGCGGUAAUACGGAGGAGCCGAGCGUUAUCCGGAUUUAUUGGGUUUAAAGGGAGCGUAGGUGGAUUGUUAAGUCAGUUGUGAAAGUUUGCGGCUCAACCGUAAAAUUGUAGUUGAAACUGGCAGUCUUGAGUACAGUAGAGGUGGGCGGAAUUCGUGGUGUAGCGGUGAAAUGCUUAGAUAUCACGAAGAACUCCGAUUGCGAAGGCAGUUCACUGGACUGCAACUGACACUGAGGCUCGAAAGUGUGGGUAUCAAACAGGAUUAGAGACCCCAGUAGUC
rnacentral:rRNA from 1 species